rnacentral:rRNA from 1 species
CAGUCGCCGCGGGAAUACAGAGGGUGCGAGCGUUAAUCGGAUUUACUGGGCGUAAAGCGUGCGUAGGCGGCUAAUUGAGUCGGAUGUGAAAUCCCCGAGAUUAACUUGGGAAUUGCAUUCGAUACUGGUUAGCUAGAGUGUGGGAGAGGAUGGUAGAAUUCCAGGUGUAGCGGUGAAAUGCGUAGAGAUCUGGAGGAAUACCGGUGGCGAAGGCGGCCCCCUGGACAAAGACUGACGCUCAGGUGCGAAAGCGUGGGGAGCAAACAGGAUUAGAUACCCGCGUAGUCCCUGUCUCUUAUAC